rnacentral:rRNA from 1 species
GUGAGGAAUAUUGCGCAAUGGACGACAGUCUGACGCAGCGACGCCGCGUGGGGGAUGAAGGCCUUCGGGUUGUAAACCCCUUUCGGGAGGGAAGAUGGGACGGGCAACCGUUCGGACGGUACCUCCAGAAGCAGCCACGGCUAACUCUGUGCCAGCAGCCGCGGUAAGACAGAGGUGGCAAGCGUUGUUCGGAUUUACUGGGCGUAAAGGGUGCGUAGGUGGUUAGGUAAGACCUGUGGGAAAUCCCUGGGCUUAACCCAGGAAGGUCGCAAGUGACUGCCUAGCUAGAGGACGGGAGAGGAGCGCGGAAUUCCCGGUGUAGCGGUGAAAUGCGUAGAGAUCGGGAGGAAGGCCGGUGGCGAAGGCGGCGCUCUGGAACGUUCCUGACACUGAGGCACGAAAGCGUGGGGAGCAAACAGGAUUAGAAACCCCUGUAGUCC